rnacentral:rRNA from 1 species
UAAUGUGCACCAAACAACCAGGAGGUGGGCUUGGAAGCAGCCAUCCUUUGAAGAAAGCGUAAUAGCUCUGCUUUUUGUGUAACAUUACACUACACGCAGAAAAUAAAAGCCGAAGCUCGCUUGUUCAGUUAAAUAU